CCUACGGGGGGCAGCAGUGGGGAAUAUUGGACAAUGGGCGAAAGCCUGAUCCAGCCAUGCCGCGUGUGUGAAGAAGGCCUUCGGGUUGUAAAGCACUUUCAGUGGGGAAGAAAGCCUUGGGGCUAAUACCCUCGAGGAAGGACAUCACCCACAGAAGAAGCACCGGCUAACUCCGUGCCAGCAGCCGCGGUAAUACGGAGGGUGCGAGCGUUAAUCGGAAUUACUGGGCGUAAAGCGCGCGUAGGCGGUCUGAUAAGCCGGUUGUGAAAGCCCCGGGCUCAACCUGGGAACGGCAUCCGGAACUGUCAGGCUAGAGUGCAGGAGAGGAAGGUAGAAUUCCCGGUGUAGCGGUGAAAUGCGUAGAGAUCGGGAGGAAUACCAGUGGCGAAGGCGGCCUUCUGGACCGACACUGACGCUGAGGUGCGAAAGCGUGGGUAGCAAACAGGAUUAGAUACCCGAGUAGUC
rnacentral:rRNA from 1 species